CUCCAUAAUCCAUCAGUUUAAAUGAUAUUGAUCCAGAUUUUGAGUGGAAUAUUUUGGUGAUAAAAAUCAAAUCAUUACACAUCAUAUCUGCAUUGGCAAUUGAAUGUGAUCCUUUGAAUGUGGCCUUUGAUGCAAUGUCAUCAUACUUGAUUUGCAUGUGCAUAUGCAAUUCUUUUUUCCAAAGGUAUUACUAACCAUGUUUCUAGAAACGGAGGAAAAUUAAAUAGUUAGGCUACCAUAAUCAUAAUCAUCAUAAUUACUUUCCACAUUUGAAUCGGCCCAAUAAAGCUCCAUUAAGUACUUCAGCAUUAGCGCCUAUUCAGUAAACAGCUGUCCCCUCCUUCCUGGGAAAAGACCAUGGUGCCUGUUUAUGUCGAGGUACCCUCACCAAAUAUGGGGCUACAUGGGAAGAAUUAAGGACAGUGCUGCUGAACGAAAGCCCCCACCGCCAGGUGUGCUGUAUGUCACAGUCAGGGUGUGUAUUUCCCAGAAGACAAACAAAUCAUGCAGUUGGUAGGGUGUCCAAUCAAAACACAUGUUUUGACCAAUGACUAAAAUAAUAUAUUAAUUGUGUAUAUAAUCCUCAAAGAAAACCAACAGUCCAAACCUCUUUUCUCCAUCAUAAUCAGUUCAGAAGUUAUUGUAGUUUUUACUAGGGCUGGGAAGAUACCAGUAUCGCGAUACUCAUUAGUAGGAAACAAAACAAAACAGGAAACAAAACAUAAAACGGAUUUAACCUUUAGGAAAACAGCCCUAAUGUUGGAAACAAACAUCAUUAUGUUGUCAUCCAGAGUCACAUUUAUUUAUUUCCAAGUUAUAGUACACAAUAUUUUACAUACAGCAGGUUUUUAAAGGACCAAAGAGUCUGCAUCAUGUUUUCAUUUUUGCCAUGGAAAAAAUAUUGUGAUACUGGUAUUGUCACAGCCAUAGUUUUUACCCUUGUAGGAUGACCAGAAUUAGAGUGACUAAAUCAAUGGAGGCCAGAGAACAAAGGUGGUCACAAAUCAGGAAAAGUGCAUCUCGUCAGCUAGGCUGGAUGCCGUGUAAUAAUUAAAGCUACUGGCGACCUGACAGGCUCGCUACAGUUGAACUGGUCAUCUUUCUUCUUGAACCCGCCGGACAUAAAACAAUAUAGAGGUAAGAUUGAUAUCGAUUUUGAGACAUGACAUGUAGUAUUUUCAUAUUUUAGUAUAUGCCUUUCAUAUUAAUUUGAAAUUCCUCACAAAAACAAGCGUAUCUCUGUGAAAUGUCAACGGAGCACUGAGCAUAUAGGCAGUGGUGUAAAGUACUUAAGUAAAAAUACUUUAAAGUAUUAAGUAGUUUUUUUGGGGUAUCUGUACUUUAUUUUACUUUUACUCAAGUAUGACAAUUGGGUACUUUUCCCCCCACUGCUAUAGAUCUACCAAGCAUUUUAUUUUCAAAGCCUUUUACAUUUAUGUCAUGCUAAUUUUGCAAAUUGCAAUCCGCAGAAACAACUUUGAAGACAACGACCACAAAAUGUAAAAUCCUCAAAAGUUAUGAAAACCUGCACCGCUAUGUCAAUAUACUGUAGCUCAGUCUUAUUAUUGGAUGUUUUAGGUUACGAAAUCCAACUUUUUGGAUAUAAUGUUAAUGAUAUGUUAAAGACCCCACUGAACAAUUCAUAACAUGAAUAAUCAUAUUUGGCUUGGUAAAAUGUAUUUAAUAACAUAAGAAAGUGAAAUUUCCUCACCAAAGCGCCCUUUCUGGGCAGAGUAGAUGGACUGUCACGUCCUGACCAUAGUAAGUUGUUAUUUUCUAUGGUAGAGUAGGUCAGGGUGUGACAGGGGGUGUUUGUCUGUUUUUGUAUUUCUAUGUUCAGUUUCUAGUUUUGUAUUUCUAUGUUGGUGUUGUUUGGGUUGAUCUCCAAUUGGAGGCAGCUGAUCCUCGUUACCUCUAAUUGGAGGUCAUAUUUAAGUUGAUGUUUGUCCCACCUGUUUUUGUGGGUGAUUAUCUUUUGAGUAGUGUGUUUUCCUCGCUGCGGCACGGUUUGUUGUUUUUGUGUUUCAAGUAUUUAAUGUAUUGCAUUUAGUUUCACGG
rnacentral:lncRNA from 1 species